UGAAAAUCUAGACACAGGAUCACAUGAAGACCUUGUACAGAAUAUUCAGCCAUCAGAUAUCUCUGCAGCUGUUAAAACAGAAGAUCUGAGUGUAACGUGUCAUCUAGAAGCUCCAAAGCAGGAAAUGUGUGACAGUGACAAUGAAGUUGAAAAUGAUGCUAAGAUUUCAUGUAACAUGGAACAAACAGAAGAUCUGUGGCUAAGAAAUAUAACAGAAGCUACAGAGCAGGAAAUAUGUGACAAAAUAAGUACAGGUGAAAAUGAUGCUAAGAUUUCAUGUAACACGGAACAAACAGAAGAUCAG